UGGGCAACCUACCUUAGUUACUGGGAUAGCCCGAGGAAACUCGGAUUAAUACCGGAUAUUCUUAUCUAAUCACAUGAUUUUUUAGGGAAAGGUCAGCCGAACUAAGAUGGGCUCGCGUUCUAUCAGCUAGUUGGUAGGGUAAUGGCCUACCAAGGCUACGACGGAUAGCUGGUCUGAGAGGACGAUCAGCCACACUGGGACUGAGACACGGCCCAGACUCCUACGGGAGGCUGCAGCAGGGAAUAUUGCGCAAUGAGCGAAAGCUUGACGCAGCGACACCGCGUGUGGGAUGACGGAUCUAGGUUUGUAAACCACUUUCAGGAGGGAAGAAAAUGACGGUACCUCCACAAGAAGCCCCGGCCAACUACGUGCCAGCAGCCGCGGUAAUACGUAGGGGGCGAGCGUUGUCCGGAUUUAUUGGGCGUAAAGAGCUCGUAGGCGGUUCAACAAGUCGGUCGUGAAAGUUCAGGGCUCAACCCUGAAAUGUCGAUCGAUACUGUUGUGACUAGGAUACGGUAGAGGUGAGUGGAAUUCCGAGUGUAGCGGUGAAAUGCGUAGAUAUUCGGAGGAACACCAAUUGCGAAGGCAGCUCACUGGGCCGCUAUCGACGCUGAGGAGCGAAAGCUAGGGGAGCAAACAGGAUUAGAUACCCUGGUAGUCCUAGCUGUAAACGAUGGAUACUAGACGUAGGA
rnacentral:rRNA from 1 species